AUGGAACAAUGUAGGCAAGGGAAGUCGGCAAAACGGAUCCGUAACUUCGGGAAAAGGAUUGGCUCUAAGGACUGGGCUCGGGGGUCCCGGCCCUGAACCCGUCGGCUGUCGGCGGAUUGCUCGAGCUGCUCACGCGGCGAGAGCGGGUCGCCGCGUGCCGGCCGGGGGACGGACCGGGAAUCGCCCCUUCGGGGGCUUUCCCCGAGCAUGAAACAGUCGACUCAGAACUGGUACGGACAAGGGGAAUCCGACUGUUUAAUUAAAACAAAGCAUUGCGAUGGUCCUCGCGGAUGCUGA
rnacentral:rRNA from 1 species